UGGGCCGCGGCUCAGUUGGUUAGAGUUGCGGACUCAAAAUCCGUAGGUCUCUGGUUCAAGUCCGGGUGUGCCCAA
rnacentral:tRNA from 1 species